rnacentral:hammerhead_ribozyme from 9 species
CACUGGUUGGGAAUUGAAGCCAUUCUUCUGACGAGCCCAAGGCAGGGCGAAAUCAGUC